GUGAACGCUGGCGGUAGGCCUAACACAUGCAAGUCGAACGGCAGCACAGUAAGAGCUUGCUCUUACGGGUGGCGAGUGGCGGACGGGUGAGGAAUACAUCGGAAUCUACUUUUUCGUGGGGGAUAACGUAGGGAAACUUACGCUAAUACCGCAUACGACCUACGGGUGAAAGCAGGGGCUCUUCGGACCUUGCGCGAUUGAAUGAGCCGAUGUCGGAUUAGCUAGUUGGCGGGGUAAAGGCCCACCAAGGCGACGAUCCGUAGCUGGUCUGAGAGGAUGAUCAGCCACACUGGAACUGAGACACGGUCCAGACUCCUACGGGAGGCAGCAGUGGGGAAUAUUGGACAAUGGGCGCAAGCCUGAUCCAGCCAUACCGCGUGGGUGAAGAAGGCCUUCGGGUUGUAAAGCCCUUUUGUUGGGAAAGAAAAGCAGCAGGUUAAUACCCCGCUGUUCUGACGGUACCCAAAGAAUAAGCACCGGCUAACUUCGUG
rnacentral:rRNA from 1 species